rnacentral:rRNA from 1 species
UACAGAGGGGGCAAGCGUUAUUCGGAAUUAUUGGGCGUAAAGGGCGCGUAGGCGGCUUUCUAAGUCAGGGGUGAAAUCCUGGAGCUCAACUCCAGAACUGCCUUUGAUACUGGAAAGCCUGAGUUCGGGAGAGGUGAGUGGAACUGCGAGUGUAGAGGUGAAAUUCGUAGAUAUUCGCAAGAACACCAGUGGCGAAGGCGGCUCACUGGCCCGAUACUGACGCUGAGGUGCGAAAGCGUGGGGAGCAAACAGG